ensembl:lncRNA
CAAACUAAGGCACGCUGCCUGCUUUUAUCUAUAGGCUGUUUCAACUUGUCAAUUUCAAACAAGUUUUAUUUUCAAACAACAGUUUGAAUUUAGGUGUGUUCCGCCUCCUCAUUAAUUCACAUAAAAAUAGGCCAUUUUACUUUUGCAGACAAUUUAUGUUCUGGGCUUUACUGAGCCUGACAAACUUCCCCAAGCACUUCCCAAUUGUUUCCGCAGAUCAAGUAUGCAGACAUUUGCGCACCUCCAGUCAGAACAGGACCUGCACAAACUUUUCACAUUUUCUGGCUGGUGCUUGCUUCGCCUUCAUAGUUGUUUUCAUUACUACAUGAUAAUAACUUGGACAUGUGUUCGUUUCUAUUAAAAAACCACACACACCAACAGUAUCGAACAGUAUUUGCCAAUAUCAUAACUGGAGCUGAAAACUGAGGCCAGCUUUUGUAUGCUAGUGUACACUCCUUAACAGUUGUACUGGAUGAAAACACAGCAAGAAAACAAAGAGGCCUAUAUGUAGUAGUCGUCUAUUUUAUUGAAGUAUUGGUGGUGGUCGAACAACAACAACAAAAACAACAACAACCACCACCCCCCCAUUCUCCCCCACAUAGUAUCAUGGCAGAUUACCAGUCAAGUCACCAGUCAAGUCAGUCAGUCAGUAAUUGCUGCAGAUGUGCUCAAUAGUGCUUGAGCAUAUUUGUACUCCCAAAAGCAUGGUGAAACACAUAGAGGUGUGUCACAAGCUGAACACAUGUACUCUGUCAACCUCGUAUGCUUCCUUUUCCUGAUGCCAUACAGGCAGACUUUGCCGUGCCUCCGUGUGCGACUUGACGGCAACAGUUUGACGGACUUUGCAGGGAAAAUGCCGUGCAGUGAGGUGUAGGGGAUUGUCUGCAGCAGGACGGCCCCCAUUGGUUCGGCGCUGAGGGGUGUGGUGCUCCUCCAGCAGCUCUCUCAUGAGGUUUUCUCUGUACUUUUGGUGGUCCACCUUCCCUGUGGCCGACAUGGUUGCUGUCUGGACAGUGGAGAGGACAUGAACGUCUCGUUUGUCAUGCCACUUUACUGCCAGUUGUUGACUGUUCUCCUUGAACGCCACCUCCCCUCUCUGCAUCUUCCUCCAUCCGAAUGCUGGCAUCCCCUUCCUGUUAGACCUGACUGUGCCACAGGCUCCUGUGCUGUUGGAAGAGCAGAAGCUGGAAGAGUGUGGGACUGCUGUACCAACUGUCCCCAUACAAAGUGUGUCCCUUGCUGAGAUGAGGAGCCAGCAUGGUCAUCACCGUGGACCUGGACACCACAAGACCCUCAUAAUGUUGGACGUUACCGUGCUUCUACACCUGCAUUGCUUGCUGUUUGGGGUUUUAGGCUGGGUUUCUGUACAGCACUUUGAGAUAUCAGCUGAUGUACGAAGGGCUAUAUAAAUACAUUUUAUUUUAUUUUAUUUUGAUUUGACGUCAGUAGUGGACCCUGGGUAAACUAUAAUGUCCCGGACAAAUCCUGUCUUCACGUCACACAUGACAAAGAACUUGACCCCAAACCUUUGCCUUUUGGAGGCAAUAUAUUGACGGAACGCCAGCCUACCCUUCCAUAACAUCAGGGACUCAUCAAUGAAUAGGUCCUUGUAAGGCACAAAGAACUGACCAAAUGUUGAUGUAAGAACAUUUCUUUUAUUUUGUGUAACAGUCAUUUAGAUUGGCAGUAGCAUUGUUGACGAAAUGUAGGCAUUUGCAGCAGAACUAGGAAGCGGUCUUGGGAAAAGAGGGUGGCAAAGAAGAGAGUUGUAAACAUCUCUGUGCUCUGUGUUCCAGUAUUUUCUUAGGGAAUUCUUCUUUACUAUCCCCAUGAGAAGGACUGUCACCAGGAAGGUAUACAUUUCACUAAUUGUGGUUGCCACCCAUUUAGCAAGUCUCCCCCUCACUCCUGGCUCUCUAGCUCCAAGGCAUAGCGAUUGGUCUCCUCUACUAUAUGUCUCCCACCAGCUCCUCUGUCAGAAACCGCUUGAAGCACUCUGCCACAGAGGGAAAUGGCAAGGGGCUUUUGUACUCCAGACUGGAACUCAUCAAAGCAAACAGCAGGGUUAGGAGGACUGAAAUGGCUGGCGGCCUUCCAGCUACCACAGACUUCCUGUACUUCAUCCACUGCCGGUCUGCCUCCAUCACCAUCAGCAUCUUCAAAGUGACCUGGGACUUCAUCAGUGGACAAGGGGUCUUCAGAUUCAGGGUUCUCAAUGGCUACAAGGUUUGGGGGCAACUCCUCACUUUCACUGUCACUGUCAAAAUCUUAUUACUGACUUUCAUACUCUGACUCAUUGUCAGAAUUUAUAAAAAAAUCUCCAGAAUUUCCACAUUUGUAAGUCUCCUUUUAAAAGACAUUGCGAAAGCUACAGCUUAGCUCACUAGCUACACACAUAAAUAACAACACUGAAUGGCUCAGAGUGGGAGUGAGAGGUUACGUGAUUGACUGCAUGCACGCUCCACUUGUAUCAAUAAAUCACUGUCAGAAAAUGUUUUGUUUGGUAAUUAUUUAUUUAUUUACUGUUUUAUUCACGUUUUCAAGUACUGGUGACAAAUCAUGCAUUCCGAUUCUUUCAUAGAUUACAAUGGACACAUAUUAUGUGUGUAAAAUACUUUUUUUAAUGAUUGUACUGAUUAUGAUGAGUUAAGCUAAUUCUAGCUAUGUGUGGAGCCAGGUUUGUUGACAUACAAUGCAUUCUGGGUUUCACGUCUGUCGGACCGAAGAUUUUUCAAGUAAACUUCCAGAAGUGAAUGAUGGGAUGUGAACGAUGGUAGACAACACACUCCCUUCAACAUGCAUACUAUAAAUAGACCAAACUCAUCUUGUCUCCUCCUAUAAUCUUUGGUUGAUGCAAAAAAAUAAACAUGGCGGCACGCACAAACUACCCAUCGUCGGAUAACUUUCGAUUUCUAGAAACUGUUUUACUCAAUUAUUUUGAUCAAUGGUGAGCUCACCCAUGAUGUGACUAAUUAUGCUGUAGCUACUUCUGUGAAUGUCUGAACAUUGCAUCCAAAAAUAAACUGG